GAUGAACGCUAGCGGCAGGCUUAACACAUGCAAGUCGAGGGGUAGGGUUAGCUUGCUAACUUGAGACCGGCGCACGGGUGCGUAACGCGUAUGCCAUCUACCUUGUACAGGGGGAUAGCCCAGAGAAAUUUGGAUUAAUACCCCAUAGUGUUAUGAUGUGGCAUCACAUUAUAACUAAAGUUCCAACGGUACAAGAUGAGCAUGCGUCCCAUUAGCUAGUUGGUGUGGUAACGGCAUACCAAGGCAACGAUGGGUAGGGGUCCUGAGAGGGAGAUCCCCCACACUGGUACUGAGACACGGACCAGACUCCUACGGGAGGCAGCAGUGAGGAAUAUUGGUCAAUGGGCGCAAGCCUGAACCAGCCAUGCCGCGUGCAGGAUGACGGUCCUAUGGAUUGUAAACUGCUUUUGUACAGGAAGAAACACUCCCUCGUGAGGGAGCUUGACGGUACUGUAAGAAUAAGGAUCGGCUAACUCCGUGCCAGCCGCCGCGGUAAGAC
rnacentral:rRNA from 1 species